GCGAGAGUGGCGGAACUGGCAGACGCUCGGGAUUUAGGUUCCCGUGCCGCAAGGCGUGCGGGUUCGAGUCCCGCCUCUCGCACCA
rnacentral:tRNA from 1 species